AACCUUUACACUGCACGCCAGUGCGAUAAGGGGAUCCCGAGUGCGCAGGCAUAGAGCCUGCGCUUUUCUGAACCGUAGGAAGGUUCAGGAACAAGAGCUGGGCAAGACCGGUGCCAGCCGCCGCGGUAAUACCGGCAGCUCGAGUGAUGGCCGAUCUUAUUGGGCCUAAAGCGUCCGUAGCUGGCCUUGCAAGUCCGUCGGGAAAUCCACCCGCUCAACGGGUGGGCGUCCGGCGGAAACUGCAAGGCUUGGGACCGGGAGGCUUGAAGGGUACGUCCGGGGUAGGAGUGAAAUCCCGUAAUCCUGGACGGACCGCCGAUGGGGAAACCACUUCAAGAGAACGGAUCCGACAGUGGGGGACGAAAGCUAGGGUCUCGAACCGGAUUAGAUACCCGGGUAGUCCUAGCUGUAAACGAUGCCUGUUAGGUGUGACUCCCACUACGAGUGGGUGUUGUGCCGUAGGGAAGCCGCUAAACAGGCCGCCUGGGAAGUACGUCCGCAAGGAUGAAACUUAA
rnacentral:rRNA from 1 species